rnacentral:lncRNA from 1 species
AAGACUUUGAUGUUUCAAACAUGGAAUACAGAUGACUUGUUAACAAAGUUUAAAUUUGUCUAAUGGAUAUUGUCCUUGACCUCAUUUUGAUUGUUCAUUAACUUCUUUGAAAUGUUUUAUUUUUGUCCUGAGAAUUUCUCACUUAUUAAUUUUAUUUGUGAUAGGAAAACUACAUUCAGUAUACAGACUCCUUACAAAUCUUCAUGUUCAUCAGACGGGAAUCAUCUAGAUUUUUGUGUUCAGGUCAGAUACUAUUAACAGCAGGCUAAUCUAAUGAUUGCAAGGUGUUCAUGCAUGUCUGAGUCUUAACAACAUGUUCAUAGUUCAUGUUUAUUGUUAAGUUUUUGUUGUUUAGGUUUUUUUUCUUAAAUUUCAGUAAAGGUUUAACUUUUUCAGCAUAUGGAUCAUUUAAUAUGUCCUGGUUCAUCUGACUUUGACCUCAUUUACAUGAAGCCUUGAUAAGGUUAAGGUUAGGAUGCUUGUACAACCUUUAUAUGACAGUGUGUGCAUUGUUCUUUGAUUUACAUAUGGAAAAGUGCAUAAUAUUGAUUGUUUUUAUUUAAGGACAAAUGUAUUGGAAAUGUAGGCUUGUGUUUUAGUGAGAGAGAAUGUUAAUAAUUAUUCAUUGUAUCAUGUCUACACAAAAAAAAAUCAUCUUAACUGUUGAAUGACAUUUACUGUAGAUUCAUUAUUAUUCGUUUGAUACCAAUUUUUCGUUGAUUUUGUGGGUGCAAGUAAACCAUGAGUUAAAUGUUCAAUGAAUGACAAAUUUUAUAUAGGCUUGUACGCUGACUUCAACAAAAUCAUGAAAUUAAAUAUCCAUGAACAUGUAAGUUCUUAUUAAUCAAUGAAAAUUGGUACCCACGAAAAUAAAUGAAUCCACAGCAUUUUAUAUUUUAAAAAUUGUGAAUUUAUUUUUGACCAGACUUUAUAUAGCUAGCAAUGUUUAACAAUGAUAUAUUAAGAAUACAC